AUCCAGCCGACGAGUCCCAAGUAGAAUGAAACGAGCUUCCUGGAU
rnacentral:hammerhead_ribozyme from 1 species